GAGGGUAUGGCUCAGUGGUAGUGGGCAUUUUUUUAGCAUGCGCGAGGUCCUGGGUUCAAUCCCCAGUACCUCCG
rnacentral:tRNA from 1 species